GACGAACGCUGGCGGCGUGCUUAACACAUGCAAGUCGAACGGAAAGGCCUUGUUUUUGUUGUGGGCUCGGGUGGCGAAAGGGUGAAUAAGGCGAGAGUAACGUGCGUGAUACUCUGGGAUAAUGGGUGUAAACUUGGGCAAAUAGGUGUUAGUAGCGCCUGGUGUGUGGGGGGGGGUGGAAAGUUUCGGCGGAUGGGGAUGGACUUGCGGCUGAUCAGGUUGUUGGUGGGGUAGUUGCUUAGCAAGGCUUUGACGGGUAGCGGGCCUGAAAGGGUGACCGGCCACAUUGGGAAUGAGACAAGGCCCAGACUCAUACGGGAGGAAGCAGUGGGGAAUAUUGCACAAUGGGCGGAAGCCUGAUGCAGCAACGCCGCGUGCGGGAUGACGGCCUUCGGGUUGUAACCCGCUUUCGCCUGUGACGAAGCGUGAGUGACGGUAAUGGGUAAAGAAGCACCGGCUAACUACGUG
rnacentral:rRNA from 1 species